rnacentral:rRNA from 1 species
UAAACAACCAGGAGGUUGGCUUAGAAGCAGCCAUCCUUUAAAGAAAGCGUAAUAGCUCACUGGUCUAGUGAUUUUGCGCGGAAAAUAUAACGGGGCUAAAGUAAGUACCGAAGCUGUAGACUUAGUUUACUAAGUGGUAGGAGAGCGUUCUAUUUGCGUCGAAGGUAUACCGGUAAGGAGUGCUGGAGCGAAUAGAAGUGAGCAUGCAGGCAUGAGUAGCGAUAAUUAAUGUGAGAAUCAUUAACGCCGUAAACCCAAGGUUUCCUACGCGAUGCUCGUCAUCGUAGGGUUAGUCGGGUCCUAAGUCGAGUCCGAAAGGGGUAGACGAUGGCAAAUUGGUUAAUAUUCCAAUACCAACAUUAGUGUGCGAUGGAAGGACGCUUAGGGCUAAGGGGGCUAGCGGAUGGAAGUGCUAGUCUAAGGUCGUAGGAGGUUAUACAGGCAAAUCCGUAUAACAAUACUCCGAGAACUGAAAGGCUUUUUGAAGUCUUCGGAUGGAUAGAAGAACCCCUGAUGCCGUCGAGCCAAGAAAAGUUUCUAAGUUUAGCUAAUGUUGCCCGUACCGUAAACCGACACAGGUGGGUGGGAUGAGUAUUCUAAGGCGCGUGGAAGAACUCUCUUUAAGGAACUCUGCAAAAUAGCACCGUAUCUUCGGUAUAAGGUGUGGUUAGCUUUGUAUUAGGAUUUACUCUGAAAGCAAGGAAACUUACAACAAAGAGUCCCUCCCGACUGUUUACCAAAAACACAGCACUCUGCUAACUCGUAAGAGGAUGUAUAGGGUGUGACGCCUGCCCGGUGCUCGAAGGUUAAUUGAUGGGGUUAGCAUUAGCGAAGCUCUUGAUCGAAGCCCGAGUAAACGGCGGCCGUAACUAUAACGGUCCUAAGGUAGCGAAAUUCCUUGUCGGUUAAAUACCGACCUGCAUGAAUGGCGUAACGAGAUGGGAGCUGUCUCAAAGAGGGAUCCAGUGAAAUUGUAGUGGAGGUGAAAAUUCCUCCUACCCGCGGCAAGACGGAAAGACCCCGUGGACCUUUACUACAGCUUGACACUGCUACUUGGAUAAGAAUGUGCAGGAUAGGUGGGAGGCUUUGAGUAUAUGACGCCAGUUGUAUAUGAGCCAUUGUUGAGAUACCACUCUUUCUUAUUUGGGUAGCUAACCAGCUUGAGUUAUCCUCAAGUGGGACAAUGUCUGGUGGGUAGUUUGACUGGGGCGGUCGCCUCCCAAAUAAUAACGGAGGCUUACAAAGGUUGGCUCAGAACGGUUGGAAAUCGUUCGUAGAGUAUAAAGGUAUAAGCCAGCUUAACUGCAAGACAUACAAGUCAAGCAGAGACGAAAGUCGGUCUUAGUGAUCCGGUGGUUCUGUGUGGAAGGGCCAUCGCUCAAAGGAUAAAAGGUACCCCGGGGAUAACAGGCUGAUCUCCCCCAAGAGCUCACAUCGACGGGGAGGUUUGGCACCUCGAUGUCGGCUCAUCGCAUCCUGGGGCUGGAGCAGGUCCCAAGGGUAUGGCUGUUCGCCAUUUAAAGCGGUACGCGAGCUGGGUUCAGAACGUCGUGAGACAGUUCGGUCCCUAUCUGCCGUGGGCGUAAGAAGAUUGAAGAGAUUUGACCCUAGUACGAGAGGACCGGGUUGAACAAACCACUGGUGUAGCUGUUGUUCUGCCAAGAGCAUCGCAGCGUAGCUAAGUUUGGAAAGGAUAAACGCUGAAAGCAUCUAAGCGUGAAGCCAACUCUAAGAUGAAUCUUCUCUAAGCUCUCUAGAAGACUACUAGUUUGAUAGGCUGGGUGUGUAAUGGAUGAAAGUCCUUUAGCUGACCAGUACUAAUAGAGCGUUUGGCUUAUCUUUAAUAAAGCAU